rnacentral:tRNA from 1 species
GGCCUGGUGGUGGAACUGGAAGUCACGUCGGUCUCAGAAGCCGAUGCCGUCAGGCGUGAGGGUUCGACUCCCUCCCGGGCCA